GGGGUGUUAGAUCAGCUGGGAGAGCACCUGCCUUGCACGCAGGGGGUCAUCGGUUCGAUCCCGAUACGCUCCACCA
rnacentral:tRNA from 1 species